rnacentral:rRNA from 1 species
AUUGAACGCUGGCGGCAGGCUUAACACAUGCAAGUCGAGUGGAGAUGAGGUGCUUGCACCUUAUCUUAGCGGCGGACGGGUGAGUAAUGCUUAGGAAUCUGCCUAUUAGUGGGGGACAACAUUCCGAAAGGAAUGCUAAUACCGCAUACGCCCUACAGGGGAAAGCAGGGGAUCUUCGGACCUUGCGCUAAUAGAUGAGCCCAAGUCGGAUUAGCUAGUUGGUGGGGUAAAGGCCUACCAAGGCGACGAUCUGUAGCGGGUCUGAGAGGAUGAUCCGCCACACUGGGACUGAGACACGGCCCAGACUCCUACGGGAGGCAGCAGUGGGGAAUAUUGGACAAUGGGCGGAAGCCUGAUCCAGCCAUGCCGCGUGUGUGAAGAAGGCCUUUUGGUUGUAAAGCACUUUAGUUGGGGAAGAAAAGUAAUAAGUAAAUAAUUUAUUGCUCUGACGGUACCCAAAGAAUAAGCACCGGCUAACUCUGUGCCAGCCGCCGCCGUAACAC